GAUGAACGCUGGCGGCGUGCCUAAUACAUGCAAGUCGAGCGAACAGACGAGGAGCUUGCUCCUCUGACGUUAGCGGCGGACGGGUGAGUAACACGUGGAUAACCUACCUAUAAGACUGGGAUAACUUCGGGAAACCGGAGCUAAUACCGGAUAAUAUAUUGAACCGCAUGGUUCAAUAGUGAAAGACGGUUUUGCUGUCACUUAUAGAUGGAUCCGCGCCGCAUUAGCUAGUUGGUAAGGUAACGGCUUACCAAGGCGACGAUGCGUAGCCGACCUGAGAGGGUGAUCGGCCACACUGGAACUGAGACACGGUCCAGACUCCUACGGGAGGCAGCAGUAGGGAAUCUUCCGCAAUGGGCGAAAGCCUGACGGAGCAACGCCGCGUGAGUGAUGAAGGUCUUCGGAUCGUAAAACUCUGUUAUUAGGGAAGAACAAAUGUGUAAGUAACUAUGCACGUCUUGACGGACCUAAUCAGAAAGCCACGGCUAACUACGUG
rnacentral:rRNA from 1 species